AUUUAUUUAAUAUAAAAAGUAUAUUUGAUUUCCAAUCAAAAAGUCUAACAUUUUAGAAUAAAUA
rnacentral:tRNA from 1 species